rnacentral:rRNA from 1 species
GCGGGGUAGAGGCCCGCCGCGGUAACGACGGGUAACGGGGAAUCAGGGUUCGAUUCCGGAGAGGGAGCCCGAGAAACGGCUACCACUUCCAAGGAAGGCAGCAGGCGCGCAACUUACCCUAAUCUCGAUUCGAGGAGGUAGUGACAAGAAAUACCGAUGCGGGACCCUACGGGUGCCGCGUUCGGAAUGAGUACGAUUCGAACCACCUAACGAGGAACGAUCGGAGGGCAAGUCUGGUGCCAGCAGCCGCGGUAAUUCCAGCUCCAAUAGCGUACGUUAAAGUUGCUGCAGUUAAAAAGCUCGUAGUUGAACGUUCGGGUUCCGCGGGACGGGGCCGCCCCGCGAGGGACGGCGCCGCCCCGGGGCUCGUGAUAUCUCAUCUCGCCGCCCGUCGCGAGGCGGACGGAGGGAUGGAUGAGGUUACCUGGAAAAAAUCGGGGCGAUCUAGGCGGGCGAACCUCGCCAACGAACGAUCGGACAUGGGAUAACGGAAGAGGGCGUCGGCUCGACUUCGUCGGUUCCUCGGGCCGAGGCACGUACGGUGAAUAGGGACGGUCGGGGCCGCCCGUACGGGUCGUGAGAGGUGAA